CCCUCCUGUGGCUGGUGGGGUUGUUCCCGGUGGAAGAAUAGGACCUACAAUUGGCAAAGGCGGCAAUGGCAGAUUGGGACCUACCACUGGAGGUAUGGGUAGCCCUGAAAUCGGAGGAAGGGGUAGCUUAGGGACGGUCACUGGAGGAACGGGUAGCUUAGGUACAGUUACCGGGGGAACGGGUAGCUUAGGGACUGUCACUGGAGGAACGGGUAGCUUGGGGACGGUCACUGGAGGAACGGGUAGCUUGGGGACGGUCACAGGAGGAACGGGUAGCUUAGGUACAGUCACUGGUGGAACGGGUAGCUUAGGGAUGGUCACAGGAGGAACGGGUAGCUUAGGGACGGUCACCGGAGGGACUGGUAGCUUAGGGACGGUCACCGGAGGAACUGGUAGCUUAGGGACGGUCACCGGAGGAACUGGUAGCUUAGGGGCUUUAGGGGAGUGCUUUCCGCCCUUCCGUGGGUUGCAAGAGCCGCAUGCGAGAGAAUGUUGGGGGAGAUAGAUAAUGCAAAUGAGGAAGAGGCAAAGAGAGAGAGAUGAGAGUUUGGAGGAGUCCAUGUUGAGUAGAGUGGAUGGUGUAACUAUACGAAAGAGUAUAUGAAUAUAUAGAGGGAAAAUGAGAAGAAGAAUUCACGUGAAGAUGGGGGCUACUUCUGCAAUAAGAAGAGACGCCCCAAAAUAAGCAUGGUUGGCAAUUAUCAUAAGAAUACAAGAUUUCCUUGAUGACCCAUCGCUAUAUAUCAUCACAUGUCGACCACACUUUUUUCACUUUUUUUUUUCUAAGUGCCUCUUGUUCUUGGGUUAACUACAACUUUUAACAACGUGUAACUUCAGUUUCAACAGUACAGUACAUUUAACUUGUAGGAAUUGUAAUGAAUCAACUUAGCGAGACUAGGUCAUUAUGAGAUAUCAUCAAUACUAAAUAACAUUUUGAUGAUGUAAACACUCUAGGAAAAGCAGAUAAUAUAGUAUCAUAUGGUUUUCGCUUUAGUGUGUGGCUUCAUAAGCAUCUCCAUGCAUGAGUCGACUGCUAAGGAACAUAUAGAUCUGCACCAUAGUGAAGACGGCUUAGUCUAUUCAAAACACUAAUGUUGUGCCUUUCGAGGACCUCCCGAGACUCGAAUUCGAAUGCACUCUCCAAAGGUAUUAUGUUAGGGAAAAAACCUUAUUAAACCAAAUAUGUUACUGUUUAACCCAUACACGAAAAUUAGAUAUAUAAAUGUUGAACAAAUAGCAUAUAGUUAUAUCCAAUAUAUACGUACAUGAGAGGUAAAGAAGACAGCAAGACUGACAUGUGAAAUUCGGGAUACACUUUUGUUGUUUGGUGAUUUUGUUACGUAGUGUCAUUAAAGAAACGAUCAUGUGUGCGUGGACCAUCUUCUUCUUUUUACCGCUCAUUUCCCUUUUUACCAUAUCUACUACAAAAGAGUCCGAACUGACCAUUUAAUGAACGAGUACCAUUCAAUUCAUAAACUCCCCGUAUCAAUCUAACUGACACUGUAAAAGUUAUAAUGUUAAUAUAUAAAAAUAAUAUGGUUAUUUAGCAUGAAUAAUAACUUUUUAUAAUUGAGAGUAUGUCUAGCUAACAUUGGUGAUUGGUGCUUACAUAAAUCAUAUUUUUCAAACCACUUAACAAGAACUUUACAUAUUCAAUGAUAAACGAAUCACAUUUAUACAAUAUACCAUUCAAAAAUAAUAUUGUAAGAUGAUUUGAAAUUAAACGAUUGUAAUAUAUAAUGUGUUAAAAGUAAUGUAUUAUAGAUAUCUUGUAAUUAUUUAAAGGGUUUUGUGCAAAAAAAAAAACCACUAACUCAUACAUUUUUCCAAUUUACUAUCCAGCUCUAAUAAAUGCACAUUAAUCCUAUGAAUCUAAAAUAAUACGCAUUGUAACCCUUUUUGACCAUUUUUUGCUACCAUCAAUUUUGUAAAAUAUUGAUAUAUAAUAUGUUAAAUCAAAGCUCUCGCGACCAAGAGUUCAACUCUACCUUUAAAAAUUUUAAAAUGUAAUGUAUGUAACCGUAAAAACGCUUGUAAUAUGCAUAUGAAAUUUAUAUUACAUAUUAUGUUAAACUUCAUAAGAUUAAUCUGCAUUUGUUGGUAGUGCAUUUGUUAGAGGUGGAAGGUAAUGUUGCAAAAAUAGAUGAGUUAAAAGAUUUCUUUUUGCACAAAACCCUUUAUUUAAACUACUAACAAUAUAAUAUAUAAAUAAUUUAAAACAUAUAUCUCUAUAAUUCAUGAAGUAAUAAUGGUGUACCCUAUCCUUACCAACGAAUAAUAAAGAAAUGAUAUUAACUCUGAUUCAAAAGCUAUAUAUAAGAUAUUCUUUUUUUUUCCUCGGGAGGGAUACGAAUCCGGUAACAUGAAUCAGUGUCCAAUAAGAGCCAGUGGUCGUAAAUUCCAAAUGACAGAUGGAUGACUCAUUUUAAUUCGUAACUUUUGUCAGCUGCGAUAUAUGCUAAUGAAACCUGAGGUGCUAGAUUUUGAUUUUAAUGGCUUUAGAUUCUUACUCAACACUCAAUGGCCCACUCGUUAAUCUCUUACCUUCUAAAGUGAGUUAUGAUCCACUGCUUCUUUCUUCUUGUAGAUAGAUGGACCUGUUUUUUUUAGGUUGUGAUUUGUGGACAUUAAUCAACAACCCAUGUUUAUACGUGAUAAUGUCUGGAGCUAUAUGUAAAGGCGAUAUGGAGGACAACAUUCCUCUAUUCUAACUUUAAAAGCCAUGUAGUUAGGGCUGGACACCAAUAUUCUUUUUUUUUUUGCUAAAUUGUAAAUAUCAUUUUGAUGAAAAAUCAGGUUUUACAACAGUUGUAUAACCUAAAACAUUUGAACUCUUUGGCAAAAAAGAAUAAAAAAACGAAGAGCCAAUCGAGAGCUGCAUAGAACUCGGUAGUUUCAUAGCAGCCACAACGCUAUUAACUUGCGAAAAAGGAGUCUGUUUCUUCUUGAGGUGAUAACGUUUUUGAUUUUGCGGUUGAUGCACUUGAAUAUAGAAUGCGGAGAGAGGGAAGUAGCGUUGUGCAGGACAUUGUUAGGCUGCUUCAAGAUGUGGAAGACCUUAGACUGAACGACAAUAAUUUUAAGAACUGAUGAAGCCAAUAUUCAUCAUUUUCAAACAAAAAAUAUCUUUUGUUUGACACCAAUAUCCUUGACCAGCUUCAAACAAAGGAUAUACAUCAUUUUUAAGUCGGGUAAGGCAAAUGAGUAUAAGGAUUCUCAUUACACAUCUGGUUGCCAAAAACUUUUAGUCAAAUACUAGUUACAAUCUCAGUUUUUUACCCCAAACUUUUUGCCACUUAAAAAACUAGGGGUGGGCAUUCGGGUAAGCGGGUCGGGUUCGGGUUCGGGUAAAACCCGAUCAGGUAUAAAGAAGUUUAGGAUCUAAUAGGGUAAAUCUAAAAUAUCGGUUCGGUUUCGAUUCGGGUCCAACCGGGUUCGGAUAUAGAUUUGUGGCCUUUUUUUAUCCAGAUUUUUCGGGUAAAAUUUUGGAUUUCGGAUAAAAUUUAGAUUUUUGAAUAAAAUAUUUGGGUAUUUUCGGGUUCGAGUUUGUUUUUUCGGGUAGAGAAAUUUAGGAUCCAGUAAAGUACAUCUUCGGAUUUGGAUUAAGUUUCAGCUCUAAUUUUUCGAGUUAGUUUCGGUUCGGAUAAUCGGUUCUGGUUUUUUGGCCCGGCUCUAUAGAAAACCAUCAAUAAAUAUUUUAAUCCUAUUUCUGCCUCAUUACUCGAGAAAAUAUUCGACCCGUUUUAUUACUUGAUAAAUUUACAACUAUAUAUUUAUGUAAUCUAUUUCAUAUUAGUAAAAUAUAUUAAAUUUGUUAUUAAAACCAAAUAUCUUUUGAGAUUAGGGCAAUCAAAAGUUAAGGUCAAGCAAAUGUCUCCUUUCUAAAUGUUUUUGUGGGUAACGGUAAAGGACAAAUAUACAGCCCAUGCCCAGACCUACAAGUAGCGACUCCAUUACUACACAGUAAGAUUUUUAUUAAUAAAAAUGUGCAUGGUUUCAUUUAAAAGUCAUUGCUAACACUUCACUUUACAGUAAUAUUCAAUUUCAUACCUUUAAACGUUAAUCAGAAUCGCCAAUUGGAAGCCAGUCACUGGAAUCACCUUCCGAAUCCUUGCUAUGUCCAACUUGGCUCUUGCUGAGCUGAACCCAGCUUGACCCGCUUGCGUUUGAUGCUGGUCUUUUCAGUGUACUCCUGUUGGGACUUGGCUUCUCCGAGAGAUCAUCGACAUCUAAAUCACUAAAGGAGAUUACCUCUUCAUCUCUGAAACUCCUCCGUUGUUCUUCAGAUGACUCAUCACUUAUCUCCCUUUGCUCAAUUUUUAGAGUCUCUAUCUUGUCAAUGACUCCCUCAACGGUUUCUGUUUCCCUACUGCUACCUUCUUCAGGAGUUUCGUGACCAGUAGUGCUCUUGCUUGACCCUGUCUCUUUCUUUUGCAGCUUUAGUAAAAGUUGAUCCCUUGUUUCAAAUACCUGUGCCGCACAAUAUAGUUAUUAAAGUUUCAGAAAUAGGUACAAUAGUAACUUGGGAAAAAAUGCAGAGCAUAAAAGAUAUAAAACAAUCCAAUUUUAAAAGCAUCAGGCAAAAAUACAUUUUUUCCUGAGGCUAUACUUGUUCUUAUUGCAAUCGGUUGAAGGGGUCAUUAUAGCAUAAACGUUUACGAUUUUAAUAAUAUUGGAUCAAUACUGACAUUUCAGAAGAAUGUAUUUCCAGUAUACAGUCUUACCUUGCAUGUUGCUAAGAGUUCAAAAUCAUGCCCAUUCAGUCUCGGCAUCAGCAAAAUAAAAUAAAUCAGCCAGAAGUGUUCAUCAUCCAUGUAACUACUAACUUGAUUCUUCACAGCUACAAGGCCAGGAACCAAAUCUUCAAUGGCUGAUGCAUGUGCCCUUUGAGCCUCAGACAGUUCAAAUUCUGCAAUGUGGACAUGAAAAGUUGGAGAAAAACUUCAGCAUAAUUCAGUAGGUAAAAUUGAUGUAAACCACCAAUGCUUUUUAUCAGGAAGUGUUUCGACAACAUUUUCAAGCAAACCAAGCCUAUAUACAAAAGGUUGUACAGGAUGACGAUAUGCUUCGCAAUAAAAUAAAUAAAAAGAUUUAAGUGGCAUAUGGAUUGAACUAUAUAUAUAUAUAUAUAUAUAUAUAUAUAUCCCAAGAAGAGACUGCAGACCCCGUCAAGUUUAUUCGUAAUUCCUGGAGAUCUAUCUAAAGAACAGGGACUUCAAAAAAAAAAAUUAACUGCAGAAACAAUCAAUCUUGUCCAAACAGGUCUAGAAUAAAACACAUCAAGAGUUAAAGACUGAAGCAUAAUCAUCUUUGGCGACUGAAAACAAGUCAACUAUAUUUCCAAGAACAAUCAUGUUUAUUCCUGCAUGGCUGCAAGUUCGUCGACAAUAUCUUCAAGGUAUGAAAAAUGUGAUCUACAGAGAGUAAUGGGACCCCGAGAUCCUAAAGACCUGAGCUUGAAGAAAUAUAUCCCAAGAGGAGAUGGCAGGACCGGUCUAACCUAAUCUAAAAUACUAGGAAAUCUCUCUAAAGAACACCAGAGGCUACAAGCAAUCAACUGUACAAACAAAAAAAAUAUUUUCCUAAUAAAUCACAGUAAGAAAAUCAUAACUAAACAUAGAUAGUUAGAAACCACCAAUGCGGUGCUUCGACUAUACUUUCAAACUAACAAAGCCUAUAUACUGGGAACAAAAAUAUGCUUGAAGAAAUAUGUCCAAAUAAGCUUAAUCUGUAACCCUAGUGAUCCCACUAGAAAGCCAAUCAACUGUAGAAGCAAUCAAUCUUUUCCAAAUAAAACCUAUUUUAGUAACAAUUAUGUUUGCCUACUGGGAAAAAAAAAAGUCAAUGCAGAGCUUAAGACUAUUGAGAAUCAAGCUUUAUGAUUCCUCUAUUGACUAUACAGGAGCAUUACCAGUAUCGAGUGACAAUGGAAAAUCUGUCCAACAACCAGGUUUCGUCGAGAUUUUAACAGCGAAAUCGACUACUUCUUCAGAGAUUCCAGGAACUUGAUCGUUCAACGGAGAUCUUCUACUACUUUCUCUAUCUCUUAGAUUACUAGGAAAUUGGAGUAAAUUAGAUGCGAAAUUGGAGAAAUUUCCACGAAUCUCGGCUAGAUCGUUGCGGAUCCCGAGAAGACCUAGCUGAGUUGGUGAAUUAUCAGAGGAGAGUCGGCGUUCGUUUACAGGUGGAGAAGGAGGCGGUGCCAGGAAAGCUGCGACGCCACGGAGUAAGGAAGAUAAAUCUUCUUUGACACCGCCAUGAGUUGUGGAAGGAUCGGGAUCGGGAUCGUGAUCGUCAUCGCCGCGAGAUUUGAAGAGCCAAGACAUGGUUUUUGAGUGAGAGAGGUUGGAUUUGGGGUUUUCAGUUUUUUUUGCACGGGGUUACGAAUAGCAAGAGAGAAGAAACGGUACGUUUUAAUACCUUUCCAAAACGCACCGUUUGUUGUUUGUUCGUUUUGAUACCUUCCCAAACGUGAAAUAAACGAACAAUAAUUAUACAAAAUAAACGGAAACAAAACCUACUUUUUAAAACGGGAAAAUAUCGUUUUAUACGUGAUGUUUUUAAGAAUGGUCAUUUUAUAUGUAAACUUUUAGAUCGAUCAAAUAAAAUAUGAUAAAAAUGUUGAUCCGCUAUUUAAACAAAACAUAAAGUUUGCCUGGCCAAAAUUUCCGAAAUGUUAACUUGUAUUAACGGAUCUGAUAACCCUCGUUAGCAGACGUUAGUCGUCUUCCGUUAAUACCAAACGAUUUUUUGUGAUGAGUACAAACCUUAAAAUUCCCAAAUCGAUUUUUCAUUCCCUAAUUCUUCAUAAUCCCCAAAAUUUGAACUAUUCUCGAUAUAUUUUUUUUGAGCUCAAAAUCUCCAUUUUGUGUAGAUAUGAGUUUAAAAAAUUUGAGUGUUCAAGAAGGAGGAAGUGGGAACCUUGGGUUUCCUUCAAAGUGUCAUUGGGGGAGAGAUUUCAUCAUCUAUAUAUCAAGCUCGACGAAGAACCCAAGAAGAUCCUUCUUCUGUUGUCCAACAUAUCAAGAUGUAAGUAGAUUUGAAUUUGUUUUUUUUGGUGUUUGAUCGGUAAAAAGUUGUCGUUGUAAAUGCAGGACCAUUUGUUUAAGUGAGUCGAAGAUUGUGUGUAUGAAGAGGUUGUAGAUGCAAUACUGAUAAUCUCUAUGAUUGAUAGCUAGAUAAACAAUGUCAAAUUUCAGGUUGUAGUCGAGAUUGCAGAAUUAAAGGUUUUGAUCCAAGAAUUGAAGGAAGAUGAAAUGUGGAGCAAAAUGGAAUUGAAGAUAUGGAAAUCGAUGACCAAAUUGUGCUUGGUGUGCCUUUGUAUAACAGUCAUUGCAAUUAUGAUCAUAAUGUUCUAUAAGACCAAAAACCAUAAGCUUGUUCUUGGUUACUAGUGUUUUGUGUUUGUAAUAAAAUGUUUUUAUGGUACUGAAAUGUUUGUUUGGCAAUGAUAAUCAGUCCUAGUGUUUUGUCUUAGUGUUGUGAUUGUAAUGAAAUGCUACUAGAUGCUUGUUUAACAAUGAGAAUCACCAAAAUGAAACUCAUUCAUACAUUAUAAAACUUGUGUCACAAAGACAAGUCGAAACCACAAAAUGAAAUCGAUACUAAGCUUAUGUCAUAAAGACAAAUCCAUUAUGUCAACCACCAAAAAUAAACUUAUGAGAAAGCUUAAGUUCAAACAACAACAAAAAGAAACUUGUGACUAAUCUUGUCUUGAACACUCAAACCAUGAUGCAAAUCCACCAAGUCCUUGUGGUUGAGCAUGUGGCUCAGUUUGUGCUUGUGCUUGUGGUUCUGUUUGGGAUUGUACUUGUGAUGCUCCACCUGUCUCCCUUGGUCUUUCUGAUGUUCCGCCUGUUGCCCUUGGUCCUUGUGAUCGAAUAUGAGAUUGUGAUCCUUGAUGAGGUUGUGAUCCGUGUAUUUGCUCUUGCGAUUCGAGCACUUGAGAUCGUGAUCCUUAAUGAGAUUGUGAACUUUGAUGAGGUUGUGAUCUUAGCACUUGUGAUUCCUCCUAAGUUAAAUAUGACAGUCUGAACAGUUGCAUGAUUAAGUGAGUUGUAAAACAUAUAAAAAAAAACAAGAAUACAAACCUGAUUUAUUCGUGGAUGACCUCUUGGUCUCUUUGGUGGAAUCAGAAUAGUGGCAUUUUUGCAGCUUUGCUUGUUUGCCCUUGUUGAAGGCAGUUAGAGCAUGUCAUGAUUCUCUUUUGCAGUGGCAUCUUGUUCUUAUUUGAAGAAGAAGAAGUCUCAUUUCUUCCUUUUCUCCUAACAUAAUUACUCGGUCUUCCAACAUUUCCUUUUGUCCAUGGUGGUGGCAAAACAGGGAGCCUAUUGGUUUUAGGCCACAAUGGCAUACCUUGGACAAGGCUAAUACCAUCUUUAUAAGUUUUUCGCCAGAUUACCUUUGUGUAAAACUUGCUCACAUAGUCUGCAACUGUUUCUCUUCUUCCUAUUAUCACAGGUGUCGCAUAAAUACAUGGGAUCCCCACCAUCUACCACUUCCUGCGACCACAAGUUCUCUUCUCCGUAUCAACAUAGUAGCUAACACCAUUCACAUCAAUUUGAUACAAAUUGUUUCUGGACAUAUAUCUCUCGCAAUUUCUAACCCCAACUAUCAUUUUCUCAAUCUCAAGAUGGGCUCUCUUUGUGAACCUUGUCUUCAAUUUGUCAGCAAUGAUAUACGUCUUCGUAGUUAUGACCAUGCAUUACCUCUGGAUGUACUCUAGCUAAUCCAACAAAGGCUUUCUCCUAGCCUGUUUAAUAGUCUUAUUAAAAGACUCACACUGAUUAUUGAGGCUGUCAUUGCAACGUGUCCAAUUCUAAAGAAGGCUCUCGACCAUGUCAUUGGACUAGUAAGUUGCGAGUGGCAUGCGCAUGAGGAUUGUAUCUCUUUAGCUCUUCCAUAUUAUUCAUGAACACUUCUUCAGUGUAGCUUCAAAUUGUUUUUCAAAGAGACAUUGUAGUUCUAUCUCAUGGUUGUCUCUCUUCCAAUUGUCCAUUAUAUGCCUUGAAUAUUGUCGAUGCUCAACUUCUGGAAGUAUGGUAUUGAUAGCUUUGACUAGACCCUGUAAAAUAACACAAAAACAUAAGCGUAAACCCUUCAUAAAAGACAUUAAACUGAAGCAAAAGAUGAUAAAAUUAACUGAUUAUUUAUCUGAAAUGAUAACUAGAUGUUGCAUUUCACAGUCCCAAACUAGUAGAGAGCUGUCUCAAAAACCAGUCCCAAUUAUCAUUGUUUUCUAUCUCAACAACUGCCCAAGCUAUAGGAACAAUCCUCUUAUCUCCAUCUCUUCCAACUACAGCUAAAAGGUGACCUUUUACAUCCCAUUUUAGAAAACCCAUCUAUUCCUAUCACAGGUCUACAAGUUCGCUUCCAAGAAUCCUUUUGAGAUUUAAAGCAGAUAUAGCACCAGAGAAAAGAAUCCUUUUGUGAUAUAAAGCAGCUAUAGCAUCAGAGAA
rnacentral:lncRNA from 1 species